UGGGUGAUCUGCCCUGCACUUUGGGAUAAGCCUGGGAAACUGUAGCUAAUACCGGAUAUGACCGCUGACCGCAUGGUCUGGUGGUGGAAAGAUUUAUCGGCUGGGGAUGGGCCCGCGGCCUAUCAGCUUGUUGGUGGGGUAGUGGCCUACCAAGGCGACGACGGGUAGCCGGCCUGAGAGGGUGACUGGCCACACUGGGACUGAGACACGGCCCAGACUCCGUACGGGAGGNA
rnacentral:rRNA from 1 species